UUGGAGGGCAAGUCUGGUGCCAGCAGCCGCGGUAAUUCCAGCUCCAAUAGCGUAUAUUAAAGUUGUUGCUGUUAAAAAGCUCGUAGUUGAAUUUCGGGAUCAAUUUAUUGGUCGUGCUAUUGUACGUACUGGUAUUAUUGAUUCCUACCUUCUGACGAACCAUGAUGUCAUUAAUUUGGUGUCAUGGGGAAUCAGGACUGUUACUUUGAAAAAAUUAGAGUGUUUAAAGCAGGCUCACGCUUGAAUACAUUAGCAUGGAAUAACGAAAUAGGACGUUUGAUUCUAUUUUGUUGGUUUCUAGGAUCGACGUAAUGAUUAAUAGGGAUAGUUGGGGGCAUUAGUAUUCAAUUGUCAGAGGUGAAAUUCUUGGAUUUAUUGAAGACUAACUACUGCGAAAGCAUUUGCCAAGGAUGUUUUCAUUAAUCAAGAACGAAAGUUAGGGGAUCGAAGACGAUCAGAUACCGUCGUAGUCUUAACCAUAAACUAUGCCGACUAGGGAUCGGAUGAUGUUAAUUUUUUAAUGACUCAUUCGGCGCCUUACGGGAAAC
rnacentral:rRNA from 1 species